CGGCGGCGGUAUUUGGCAUUUCCAAUACGAUA
rnacentral:sRNA from 11 species